CAGAUCCCUGUGGCAUAUUUGACAGAUAUUUGUCUAAAUGGCUGUAUAAACAAAUUCCUCGACAAUUUCUCUUCCCUCAAUAUUAUCCCAGAAAAGGAAAACUAACUUUUCUGUGAUAUUAUUUACAAAUGUGCACAUUUAUUGAAUGUGCCCUGUCCUGUGCAGUGUAUCGGCGUGGAUCAUUUAGAUUUAGAUAAACAUAACCAUAAGCGAUAAACGUAUUCGAGAUUGCGACCGGAAUGUAAUUCAUGAUGUGUAUAAAUUCAAAUACAAAAUGCUACAAAGAGGACGUUAUGGAUGCAAAUUAGAAAUAAACAUCAUAGCACUACUCGAAAAAUUUGUAUGUUAGUUUUAAAACUUCCUGGAGGAAAUGUGUUCUGGAUGACCAACAACGUUAACUGUUUUGAUAUGGAUGUUCUUUUUGUAUAGUGCAGUGAGGUACAUUAAUUCAUUGUAGAAUAUGCAACUUGAUGUUUGGUUGUAGGUAUACCAACGUACGGGUUCCUCGUAAUUGUAAACUUUCGUUGUACAUUAGUUUUCGUAUUGGGUAUUCUAAUUACAGUUCCACCUAAGUCCACCAAUUUUUAUGUUCCACAAUUCGUGCUUACGACAAGCACCACUAAUGCCAACUAUAAGAGCAACCUGCAAAUGUAAAAUAGAUAUGAUGUAACGAGUAACGAUUUGAACGUGUAAUGUUAUAGUAGAUAUGAACUGUCGGGGGUGCUUUUUGAAUAAACAUUUUUACUUU